rnacentral:rRNA from 1 species
UACAGAGGUCUCGAGCGUUGUUCGGAUUCAUUGGGCGUAAAGGGUGCGUAGGUGGCGCUGUAAGUCGGGUGUGAAAUCCUGAGGCUUAACCUCGGAACUGCAUUCGAUACUGCGGCGCUUGAGGACUGGAGAGGAGACUGGAAUUCAUGGUGUAGCAGUGAAAUGCGUAGAGAUCAUGAGGAACACCAGUGGCGAAGGCGGGUCUCUGGACAGUUACUGACGCUGAGGCACGAAAGCCAGGGGAGCAAACGGG